CAUAAAUCACAUCUUUCUCACUCUCGUUUGAUUUGGAAUAAAUGAUAGAUUGCAUUUAACUGGAGUUUUUAAACGUUUCAACGAUUGCCAGGCUACACAGAAAACCAAAUGUAAUUUCAUGGAUGGUGCAAAAGAAACCCAUUAAUCAUAGAGUACCCUAUGGGGCCCACACACUCACCUUAAGGUAGACGAGCUGAUAAAGUCCCUGCUCGUCAAUAGAUCAGAUGCCCACUCGCAUUAUUAAUCCUCAGCGCAGACCAACAUAUAAAAGAGAGAAAGAGGGGAGAGAGUUUGAAGAAACUAUCACACACACAGGCACACUCCGGCACAUACAGGUUGGAAUGUGGAUGUGGGUAGCGGAGCUAGCUAGCUUCCCAUUCCCCACACCCAAUUCUCCAUUCCCAAUUUCAAUUCCCAUUCCCAUUGUAGGGUUAAAACCCACAAGCGUCUCUUUUUUCUCUGCUUCUGCUUCUUUUUCAUCUACUUCGACUUCGACUUCUCUUCUUUUUUUUUUUUUGGAAAUCAUCAAACAAUAGAAAGCUAGACGAAGCAGCAGGCGAAGAAGGCAGUCAGGAAGAACCGCGAAAGAAGCGACAACAACAAAAGAGGGACCGGCCGUCCGUUUACGGUCAUUGAACUGGGUCGACUGAGGAGAGAGCAGAGUGCCAGAGAGGAGCCAGAUCUCCGCUUUCAAGACAUUGUAACAGUAAAAUAUAAAAGAAAACGCCUCGCACAAUGCGUUGCAACCUGUACCUGUUCGUGGCUCAGGGCCCGGCCCCAAAUCAAUGUCGAGCUUAGGACUCCGCCUGCAAAACGCUUUCAAAUCUUUUCAAAUUUGUCGCCUGGCAUAAAGUCGACCGCCAUAAGUGAAGACACGCCCACAACAAACUAACUGACAUUGGUACAAAAUAUCGCAAAUGUCCAAGAUGCAUGAAAAUAUCAAAAAAUAUAAUCACUUGCAAUAUAGAGUGAAGCGUAAAUUAUAAGAUGAAUCUCUGUAAAAUGACGGAUUAUUUCUGUUAAACUUAUUAAUAUCAAAAUAUUUUAUAUAUUUUUACAUU